UAUCCCGCAAAAAGCAGCGAUUUAUUCAAGAUAAUUCCAGGUAAGUUUCGCAAACUAAAUGCAUUCACCAAACUAAUGUAUUUUUCUCACAAAAGGUUUUUCGAACAGCACCUUUUAAGUUUUAGAGCUGGCUACAGUUGUUUAUUGGGGCAGUGUCUCAUCAGCGGCGCUACCAACAGCGGUGUUAUAAGCAAGUUCUAGAUUUUUGAAGUAGUGCACACCAGCAGCAUCAUCACCUUCUACAACUAGGGAUUUUUCAAUUGCGUUUCAGCGUUUCCGCUCGGAUGACUAUGAUGAGGGACUUCGGUCUAGCCACUUAAACGUAUAAUUAUUUAAUAAUAUAACAGAUAGAAUUUAGAUGUGUAAGUUUUAAAUGGUAACGAAAAUAUAGUUUGUAAUAAAAUUCCCGUUAAAGUUAAGUUAUUUAAAAACUUAGUACGCAUAUAUACUUCAGAACUUAAGGAAAAAAAAUACAAAUAAAAUUCCAUACUUGAUGAUAUGUUAUUUUUAUUAGAAGUUAAAUAUAAUUAA